GCUUGACCACAUAAGCGCAGUAUUAUGACGAGACUGAGCAAGGUCACCUUUUUCAUCUGUAAAGGCCCAGGUCGUGAGCACGGCACCUUGAACGAGGCAUUAGUGUGAGUGGGUUGCAGUGUGGGCCCUGAGCUGGUCAGUGGAUUUUGUUAGUUUGUUUUGCCUGUCAGGCAGGCUUUGCAAGCACCUUGUGACAGCGGAGUACAACUCCUGCCACGUUCCUGAGGCGCGCCAGACAUCAGCGGUUCCAGUUCCUGAAAUGCUGGAGAUGCUCGGAGCGCAAGGGGAGCAGGGAGCGUGAUGCAUCUCUUUGGGAUGUGAGGUGAGCGAAGCGGUGGUAUUGGGUUGGGGGACGUGGGUCCGGGGCUUCUUGGCUGUUGGGGUAGGGGAGCAAAGGAGUGGGUAUAGACUGUUUUGUGGAUUGUCAGAUUUGUCUGUUCUUUCUCCUUGGUCUAAGCCAUGUGACCUUAGCUCGGCACAGUCGUGAACGGAAGCGCUAAGCCUGGAUCGGGAAGGUGAAGAGGAGCCUCGUGCCUGAAGCAACAUCCUGGCUAGCCUUUGUGUUCCUUGUUGAGGAUGGAACCUGCCUCCCAGCAUUCCCAAGCUAAGCUGGGGGGCAGGUUCUAUGUUUGAGUCGGGGUUGUGAAUGGACACACAGGGCGAGGGUCUGUGCUUUUAAGUCAUUGCAGCGGAUGGGGCCUGUCAGGAUGGAUCGGGUCAGUCAGAGAGAUCAUGUGAGGGGUUUCUGUCAGGUACAGCUUGAGCACGUGCCAGGCAGGGCAGUUCCAGCUUGGUGUCUGUGUUCUGUGUUGUCUGUGCUGUGCUG